rnacentral:rRNA from 1 species
UACGGAGGGUGCGAGCGUUGUCCGGAAUCACUGGGCGUAAAGGGCGCGUAGGCGGCUCAUGAAGGCUGUGGUGAAAGUCGGGGGCUCAACCCUCGGAUGCCGGUGGAUACUGUCGGGCUUGAGUACGGAAGAGGCGAGUGGAAUUCCUGGUGUAGCGGUGAAAUGCGCAGAUAUCAGGAGGAACACCAAUUGCGAAGGCAGCUCGCUGGGACGUUACUGACGCUGAGACGCGAAAGCGUGGGGAGCAAACAGG